AUUGAACGCUGGCGGCAGGCUUAACACAUGCAAGUCGAGCGGGGUGAUGGUGCUUGCACUAUCACUUAGCGGCGGACGGGUGAGUAAUGCUUAGGAAUCUGCCUAUUAGUGGGGGACAACAUCUCGAAAGGGAUGCUAAUACCGCAUACGUCCUACGGGAGAAAGCAGGCGAUCACUUGUGACCUUGCGCUAAUAGAUGAGCCUAAGUCGGAUUAGCUAGUUGGUGGGGUAAAGGCCUACCAAGGCGACGAUCUGUAGCGGGUCUGAGAGGAUGAUCGGCCACACUGGGACUGAGACACGGCCCAGACGCCUACGGGAGGCAGCAGUGGGGAAUAUUGGACAAUGGGGGGAACCCUGAUCCAGCCAUGCCGCGUGUGUGAAGAAGGCCUUAUGGUUGUAAAGCACUUUAAGCGAGGAGGAGGCUCUUUUGGUUAAUACCCAAGAUGAAUGGACGUUACUCGCAGAAUAAGCACCGGCUAACUCUGUGCCAGCCGCCGCGGUAA
rnacentral:rRNA from 1 species